GGAUUGUAGGCUGCAACUCGCCUACAUGAAGUCGGAAUCGCUAGUAAUCGCGGAUCAGCAUGCCGCGGUGAAUACGUUCCCGGGCCUUGUACACACCGCCCGUCACACCAUGAGAGUUUGUAACACCCAAAGCCGGUGGGGUAACCUUUUGGAGCCAGCCGUCUAAGGUGGGACAGAUGAUUGGGGUGAAGUCGUAACAAGGUACC
rnacentral:rRNA from 1 species